GGGUUGUGAGGUUAAGCGACUAAGCGUACACGGUGGAUGCCCUGGCAGUCAGAGGCGAUGAAGGACGUGCUAAUCUGCGAAAAGCGUCGGUAAGGUGAUAUGAACCGUUAUAACCGGCGAUGUCCGAAUGGGGAAACCCAGUGUGAUUCGUCACACUAUCGUUAACUGAAUACAUAGGUUAACGAGGCGAACCGGGGGAACUGAAACAUCUAAGUACCCCGAGGAAAAGAAAUCAACCGAGAUUCCCCAGUAGCGGCGAGCGAACGGGGAGCAGCCCAGAGUCUGAAUCAGCUUGUGUGUUAGUGGAACGGUCUGGAAAGUCCGACGGUACAGGGUGAUAGUCCCGUACACCAAAAUGCACAGGCUGUGAACUCGAAGAGUAGGGCGGGACACGUGGUAUCCUGUCUGAAUAUGGGGACCAUCCUCCAAGGCUAAAUACUCCUGACUGACCGAUAGUGAACCAGUACCGUGAGGGAAAGGCGAAAAGAACCCCGGCGAGGGAGUGAAAAAGAACCUGAAACCGUGUACGUACAAGCAGUGGGAGCACCUUCGGGUGUGACUGCGUACCUUUGUAUAAUGGGUCAGCGACUUAUAUUCUGUAGCAAGGUUAACCGUAUAGGGAGCCGCAGGAAACCGAGUCUUAACUGGGCGUUAAGUUGCAGGGUAUAGACCCGAAACCCGGUGAUCUAGCCAUGGGCAGGUUGAAGGUUGGGUAACACUAACUGGAGGACCGAACCGACUAAUGUUGAAAAAUUAGCGGAUGACUUGUGGCUGGGGGUGAAAGGCCAAUCAAACCGGGAGAUAGCUGGUUCUCCCCGAAAGCUAUUUAGGUAGCGCCUCGUGAACUCAUCUUCGGGGGUAGAGCACUGUUUCGGCUAGGGGGUCAUCCCGACUUACCAACCCGAUGCAAACUACGAAUACCGAAGAAUGUUAUCACGGGAGACACACGGCGGGUGCUAACGUCCGUCGUGAAGAGGGAAACAACCCAGACCGCCAGCUAAGGUCCCAAAGUCAUGGUUAAGUGGGAAACGAUGUGGGAAGGCACAGACAGCCAGGAUGUUGGCUUAGAAGCAGCCAUCAUUUAAAGAAAGCGUAAUAGCUCACUGGUCGAGUCGGCCUGCGCGGAAGAUGUAACGGGGCUAAACCAUGCACCGAAGCUGCGGCAGCGACACUAUGUGUUGUUGGGUAGGGAGCGUUCUGUAAGCCUGCGAAGGUGACCUGUGAGGGUUGCUGGAGGUAUCAGAAGUGCGAAUGCUGACAUAAGUAACGAUAAAGCGGGUGAAAAGCCCGCUCGCCGGAAGACCAAGGGUUCCUGUCCAACGUUAAUCGGGGCAGGGUGAGUCGACCCUAAGGCGAGGCCGAAAGGCGUAGUCGAUGGGAAACAGGUUAAUAUUCCUGUACUUGGUGUUACUGCGAAGGGGGACGGAGAAGGCUAUGUUAGCCGGGCGACGGUUGUCCCGGUUUAAGCAUGUAGGCUGGUUAUCCAGGCAAAUCCGGAUAAUCAAGGCUGAGGUGUGAUGACGAGGCACUACGGUGCUGAAGUAACAAAUGCCCUGCUUCCAGGAAAAGCCUCUAAGCAUCAGGUAACAUCAAAUCGUACCCCAAACCGACACAGGUGGUCAGGUAGAGAAUACCAAGGCGCUUGAGAGAACUCGGGUGAAGGAACUAGGCAAAAUGGUGCCGUAACUUCGGGAGAAGGCACGCUGGUGUGUAGGUGAAGCCCCUGCGGGUGGAGCUGAGACCAGUCGAAGAUACCAGCUGGCUGCAACUGUUUAUUAAAAACACAGCACUGUGCAAACACGAAAGUGGACGUAUACGGUGUGACGCCUGCCCGGUGCCGGAAGGUUAAUUGAUGGGGUUAUCCGUAAGGAGAAGCUCUUGAUCGAAGCCCCGGUAAACGGCGGCCGUAACUAUAACGGUCCUAAGGUAGCGAAAUUCCUUGUCGGGUAAGUUCCGACCUGCACGAAUGGCGUAAUGAUGGCCAGGCUGUCUCCACCCGAGACUCAGUGAAAUUGAACUCGCUGUGAAGAUGCAGUGUACCCGCGGCAAGACGGAAAGACCCCGUGAACCUUUACUAUAGCUUGACACUGAACAUUGAGCCUUGAUGUGUAGGAUAGGUGGGAGGCUUUGAAGCGUGGACGCCAGUCUGCGUGGAGCCAACCUUGAAAUACCACCCUUUAAUGUUUGAUGUUCUAACGUUGGCCCCUUACCGGGGUUGCGGACAGUGUCUGGUGGGUAGUUUGACUGGGGCGGUCUCCUCCCAAAGCGUAACGGAGGAGCACGAAGGUUAGCUAAUCUGGUCGGACAUCAGGAGGUUAGUGCAAUGGCAUAAGCUAGCUUGACUGCGAGCGUGACGGCGCGAGCAGGUGCGAAAGCAGGUCAUAGUGAUCCGGUGGUUCUGAAUGGAAGGGCCAUCGCUCAACGGAUAAAAGGUACUCCGGGGAUAACAGGCUGAUACCGCCCAAGAGUUCAUAUCGACGGCGGUGUUUGGCACCUCGAUGUCGGCUCAUCACAUCCACGGGCUGAAGUAGGUCCCAAGGGUAUGGCUGUUCGCCAUUUAAAGUGGUACGCGAGCUGGGUUUAGAACGUCGUGAGACAGUUCGGUCCCUAUCUGCCGUGGGCGCUGGAGAAUUGAGGGGGCUGCUCCUAGUACGAGAGGACCGGAGUGGACGCAUCACUGGUGUUCGGGUUGUCAUGCCAAUGGCACUGCCCGGUAGCUAAAUGCGGAAGAGAUAAGUGCUGAAAGCAUCUAAGCACGAAACUUGCCCCGAGAUGAGUUCUCCCUGAGACUUUAAGUCUCCUGAAGGAACGUUGAAGACGACGACGUUGAUAGGCCGGGUGUGUAAGCGCAGCGAUGCGUUGAGCUAACCGGUACUAAUGAACCGUGAGGCUUAACCUUACAACGCCGAAG
rnacentral:rRNA from 1 species